AGUAGCCAAGCCCGGAAGGGAUAAACGCUGAAGGCAUCUAAGCGUGAAGCCCCCCUUAAGAUGAGAUAUCCCAUUCGAAAGAAGUAAACCCCCUUGAAGACGACGAGGUAGAUAGGGCAGAGGUGGAAGUGCAGCAAUGCAUGGAGCUGACUGUUACUAAUCGGGUGAGGGCUUGACCAAGAA
rnacentral:rRNA from 1 species